rnacentral:lncRNA from 1 species
GAAACAGCAUCUACUUCCAAAACAAAAUGAGGAUCAUCUGACUUCAGGCUGGUGACAACUGCCAUCCCCUGGAUCCCUUUGCCACGGGGCUGAUACGGCAUCGCUCUCCCAGGUUCCAGGUCAGCAAAAGCAAAUUAGCACCAGCAUCAGUCUGUUGUUAUUCACCGGAGCAAUUAAACACAUGCUAAGUUUUAAACAUAUGAUUGUUACAUUAAAAUCAAUAGGGCCCAAGAGCGCGCCUAGAUUAAACGUGUUUCUAAACCCAGCUGGAGUUUAGAAAAGCGGCUCCAUGACUAGAUGACUAAAUCCCAGCAAAGUUUGGGGAGAACACUGGGUGCAGUCCAUGGGCUUGCAGACUGUGCUGGGUGUGGUGGCAUGUGCUAAUAGGGACCUGAGCUGCGACCUGGGCAAAACCAGCACUGUGCAGUCUGCCUGUGCCACUUGAUAGGGUCCACCUCACACGUGUGUGGGCCCAAGACUAACGCACGGUGUAGGCAUAUCUGUAAACAUCAAUGUAAAUGCUGUCUGCUUCCUCUACCACUUUAUGAAUUCAUAGAUAUGAGUAGGAAGGACAAGACGGAGGGCUAAGUCAGGGCAUAAGUAGGUUGUGAAAGCAAGUUUAACUCUACAUUUUUGUCUUUGGCUGGGCCUUACUCAAAAUCCUUGAAUGGCCCAUAUAUAUUUAUUUCCUUGUUUGAAUUCGCAGCAAGAUUGCAGUAGCCUCUGGCCAAGCUUGGCUGCUGAUUUCAAACUUCUAACCAAAAGCGAGCCUGCAGUUUCAUUUCUGAGCUAGGAGCAACUUGACUGCAGAAAGUGGAAGAAAACAGGGACAGAAUCGAAUGCUACAAUUAGGGUGAUGGUCUGUGAGAGGAUGGACUAGAAGGAAUCUUUAAGACCCCCGAAGAUAGUUGGAGUCUGCAGAGCAUUUAUCACAGGACCAGACCUUUUAUCUGCACAGAAGCCUGAGGUAGUAGGAGAUGCUCCAUACACAGCUGUUAGGAAGACCAGAAUGUCAGGCUUCACAUUCCCUGUGCAUGGAUCAAGGACCACAACGAUUUGGUAGCAGCCCUGGCCCUGAUUCUACUCGUAGAUCCCGCCGUGUGCGAUGGGACCCGCCGGCCCCGAUUCCGCCCGCAGAGCGCCCGGCGCUGUCCGUGGUGCUGAAGGCACCGCUCCUAGGAGAGAGCGAGCAAGCAGAGCGUACCUACUGAACAGGCAGAACAGUCUGCACGCCACAGGAGGGAUAUGAAUGCCUGAGCUGUCUGAAUUUCUGAAGAGGAGAUGUCCUUUCACUGCCCCAGCCAAAAGAGGCAGAAGGAGCCCCCUGCAGUGUGCACAUCACUUGUGCUUCUCGGGAUUCCUGAAUCACUGAUCUUCUCUGAGGAAUACCCUUCCCUGAGGACUGUCAGGUAAGACAGACCUAUUAAUUAGUGCAAAC